GGAAAAUCUUUGAUCUUGACCGAUCACUCCCUAUUCCAAAACGCAGGGUAAAGCCCUUUUGAAAGAGUCUGAAAACUUCUAACGCUGAGUUGUUUAGCGGAGCAGCAGUGAGAGGAAACAUAGCUAAAUACCCACAGAAAGGUUCGAGGACCGCUAGUUGAUAUGCAAAUCCUGAAACUAUAACAUAGACAAAUGUGUUGUUCCCGCUUAGGCAAGAAACUGGCCAAUACGUGUCGUUCUUGAUCAUCCUCGUACACUUCACAACACUAGCCCAAAACCGUCCCUCUAAAUAAUAAUCCAUUUCUCCUAACAUAGAGUAUGACAGAGAAUGGAGAGGAAGACCGCAAUUGCCACUGGCUAAGCUAGCAUCCACGACUUGUAAGGUCCCGAAGGCAAAAU
rnacentral:lncRNA from 1 species